rnacentral:rRNA from 1 species
UACGGAGGGUGCGAGCGUUGUCCGGAAUCAUUGGGCGUAAAGGGCGCGUAGGUGGCCCGGUCAGUUCGUGGUGAAAGCGCGGGGCUCAACCCUGCGUCGGCCAUGAAUACUGCCGCGGCUGGAGCACUGUAGAGGCAGGCGGAAUUCCGGGUGUAGCGGUGGAAUGCGUAGAUAUCUGGAGGAACACCGGUGGCGAAGGCGGCAUCCUGGACCGGUAUUGACACUGAGGCGCGAAAGCCAGGGGAGCAAACGGG